rnacentral:misc_RNA from 1 species
GAUGAAGAACGCAGCGAAAUGCGAUAAGUAAUGUGAAUUGCAGAAUUCAGUGAAUCAUCGAAUCUUUGAACGCACCUUGCACCCUUUGGCAUUCCGAAGGGUAUGCUCGUUUGAGUGUCAUUGUACUCUCACACUCUCCGAUCCUAUGGAUUCGGGGAGCGGUGGACUUGGGUGUUGCUGCCUUUCCUUGUGGCUCACCUCAAAUGUGUCAGUGCACCUCUUGGUUGGACAUAGUACGGCGUGAUAAGUGUCUUCGCCGGCACCUCGCAAGAGGGUGGCCGAUCGGGAGCUCUGUGCUUUCAAACCGUCUUCGGACAAUUUCUGACAACUUGACCUCAAAUCGAGUAGGACUACCCGCUGAACUUAAGCAUAUCAUAAGCGGAGGA